rnacentral:rRNA from 1 species
UAGGAAAAGCCACUAAGCUUCAGCUAUACACGACCGUACCGCAAACCGACACUGGUGCGCGAGAUGAGUAUUCUAAGGCGCUUGAGAGAACUCAGGAGAAGGAACUCGGCAAAUUGACACCGUAACUUCGGAAGAAGGUGUGCCCUAUUAGUGUGAAGUGAACAACGGAGCAUGAAUGGGUUGCAAAAAAUCGGUGGCUGCGACUGUUUAUUAAAAACACAGCACUCUGCAAACACGAAAGUGGACGUAUAGGGUGUGACGCCUGCCCGGUGCUGGAAGAUUAAAUGAUGGGGUGCAAGCUCUUGAUUGAAGUCCCAGUAAACGGCGGCCGUAACAAUAACGGUCCUAAGGUAGCGAAAUUCCUUGUCGGGUAAGUUCCGACCUGCACGAAUGGCGUAACGAUGGCCACACUGUCUCCUCCUGAGACUCAGCGAAGUUGAAAUGUUUGUGAUGAUGCAAUCUCCCCGCGGAAAGACGGAAAGACCCCAUGAACCUUUACUGUAGCUUUGUAUUGGACUUUGAACAGAUCUGUGUAGGAUAGGUGGGAGGCUUUGAAGCAGGGUCGCUAGAUCUUGUGGAGCCAACGUUGAAAUACCACCCUGGUGUGUUUGAGGUUCUAACCUAGGUCCAUUAUCUGGAUCGGGGACAGUGCAUGGUAGGCAGUUUGACUGGGGCGGUCUCCUCCCAAAGCGUAACGGAGGAGUUCGAAGGUACGCUAGUUACGGUCGGACAUCGUGACGAUAGUGCAAUGGCAUAAGCGUGCUUAACUGCGAGACUGACAAGUCGAGCAGAUGCGAAAGCAGGACAUAGUGAUCCGGUGGUUCUGUAUGGAAGGGCCAUCGCUCAACGGAUAAAAGGUACUCUGGGGAUAACAGGCUGAUACCGCCCAAGAGUUCAUAUCGACGGCGGUGUUUGGCACCUCGAUGUCGGCUCAUCUCAUCCUGGGGCUGUAGCCGGUCCCAAGGGUAUGGCUGUUCGCCAUUUAAAGAGGUACGUGAGCUGGGUUUAAAACGUCGUGAGACAGUUUGGUCCCUAUCUUCCGUGGGCGCUGCAGAUUUGAGGAAGCCUGCUCCUAGUACGAGAGGACCGGAGUGGACACACCUCUGGUGUAUCGGUUGUCACGCCAGUGGCAUUGCCGAGUAGCUAAGUGUGGAAGAGAUAACCGCUGAAAGCAUCUAAGCGGGAAACUCGUUUCAAGAUGAGAUCUGCCGGGGCCUUGAGCCCCCUGAAGAGUCGUUCAAGACCAGGACGUUGAUAGGUCAGGUGUGGAAGCGCAGUAAUGCGUUAAGCUAACUGAUACUAAUUGCUCGUGCGGCUUGACCCU